UCCGCACCUCCGGCAACUUAUCCUGCUUCUUAUCCACCACCGGCUACAACAUAUCCGUCUCCAUCACCAUAUCCAGCGUAUCCUUCAUCUGCAUACCCUCCUCCACCUUCGGCUUAUCCUCCACCACAUUCGGCUUACCCUCCACCACCUUCCGCAUACCCUCCGCCACCUUCAUCGUAUCCCCCAUCUACGUAUCCACAACAAUCACCCUAUUAUCCGCCAGGUAAUUUCAGUUACAUUUUAUAUCUUUCGAUGAUUACUCCCCAUUGCAUUUCAAAUAUAGUACUUAAGUUCCAUUCUUUUCCAUUUUGCAAACAG
rnacentral:lncRNA from 1 species